rnacentral:rRNA from 1 species
AUGCACGCCAUCCACCCGCGCACGCUCGCCACCAACCUCGCCGGCUUCACCAGGUUCCUCCACGACCCCCGCGAUGAGCGCAAGGACCAGGACGACGUCGCCGCGGCGGCCCCGGGGGCAAGAGCGGCAAGCGGCGUUGCGUCGACGGCCUUGCCGCCGCCGCGGCUGAGGCCGCCAAGGCCCGGCGCGAGAAGGAGGCGGAGCACGCGCAGGCCGUGCUCGCGCGCUACGACUCUGACGAGGCCUUCCGCAACCUCUACGACAGCGUCGCCGACCUCUUCGUCUGGCUGCUCAAGUCGGGCCUGGAGCACCUGCGCGCGGGCAACACGGCCAAGAUCGUGUUCGCCGCCAAGUGCGCUCGUCGUACGCAUGGGUCUCCUUUGCUCCAUGGGUGCCGCUGGCUGA